rnacentral:rRNA from 1 species
CGGAGAUAGCUGGUUCUCCCCGAAAUAGCUUUAGGGCUAGCCUCAAGGUGAGAGAUACGGAGGUAGAGCACUGAAUGUCCUAGGGGGGAUUGCACCUACCGAAGACUAUCAAACUCCGAAUGCCGUCAUCUUAUACUUGGGAGUCAGACUGUGGGGGAUAAGAUUCAUAGUCGAAAGGGCAACAGCCCAGAUCGUCAGCUAAGGUCCCUAAAUGUAAGUUAAG